rnacentral:rRNA from 1 species
AGCCAGACUCCUACGGGAGGCAGCAGUGGGGAAUAUUGCACAAUGGGGGAAACCCUGAUGCAGCGACGCCGCGUGAGCGAUGAAGUAUUUCGGUAUGUAAGGCUCUAUCAGCAGGGAAGAAAAUGACGGUACCUGACUAAGAAGCCCCGGCUAACUACGUGCCAGCAGCCGCGGCAAUACGUAGGGGGCGAGCGUUAUCCGGAUUCACUGGGUGUAAAGGGAGCGUAGACGGCCAAGCAAGCCAGGGGUGAAAGCCCGGGGCCCAACCCCGGGACUGCCCUUGGAACUGCUUGGCUGGAGUGCGGGAGGGGCAGGCGGAAUUCCUGGUGUAGCGGUGAAAUGCGUAGAUAUCAGGAGGAACACCGGCGGCGAAGGCGGCCUGCUGGACCGCGACUGACGUUGAGGCUCGAAAGCGUGGGGAGCAAACAGGAUUAGAUACCCUAGUAAC